rnacentral:rRNA from 1 species
GGUGUGGGGGGACAUUCCACGUUUUCCGCGCCGUAGCUAACGCAUUAAGUGCCCCGCCUGGGGAGUACGGCCGCAAGGCUAAAACUCAAAGGAAUUGACGGGGGCCCGCACAAGCGGCGGAGCAUGCGGAUUAAUUCGAUGCAACGCGAAGAACCUUACCAAGGCUUGACAUGGGCCGGACCGGGCUGGAAACAGUCCUUCCCCUUUGGGGCCGGUUCACAGGUGGUGCAUGGUUGUCGUCAGCUCGUGUCGUGAGAUGUUGGGUUAAGUCCCGCAACGAGCGCAACCCUCGUUCCAUGUUGCCAGCGCGUAAUGGCGGGGACUCAUGGGAGACUGCCGGGGUCAACUCGGA